AGGUGUGUGGAUACGACACGUCCGCUCUCAGCGCCGGUCCUCUCUUCAGAGUUCCUAUAACGGUUAUAAUCCCUGCGAAAGUAGCUGAUAGUCGCAGUCAAGAGAUCACGUUCACAGACGCCCACUUCAGACCAGGACAAAUCCGGCGCCAUUUCAUUACCGUCCCUCAUGGAGCAUCAUGGGCAGAAAUCUCAUUAACGUCUCACUCUGGAGAUGUGUCGUCAAAGUUCGUCCUGCAUGC